CUACGGGGGGCUCCAGUGAGGAAUAUUGCACAAUGGGGGGAACCCUGAUGCAGCAACGCCGCGUGGAGGAUGACGCAUUUCGGUGUGUAAACUCCUUUUAUAUGUCAAGAAAAUGACGGUAGCAUAUGAAUAAGCACCGGCUAACUCCGUGCCAGCAGCCGCGGUAAUACGGAGGGUGCAAGCGUUACUCGGAAUCACUGGGCGUAAAGGACGCGUAGGCGGGUUGGAAAGUCAGGUGUGAAAUCCUACAGCUUAACUGUAGAACUGCACUUGAAACUUCUAAGCUAGAGUAUGGGAGGGGGAGAUGGAAUUAGUGGUGUAGGGGUAACAUCCGUAGAUAUCACUAGGAAUACCUAAAGCGAAGGCGAUCUCCUGGAACAUUACUGACGCUAAGGCGUGAAAGCGUGGGGAGCAAACAGGAUUAGAUACCCCCGUAGUC
rnacentral:rRNA from 1 species